AUCUGACGAGGAUAGAGGAAGUCGGGGCGACCCGGCUGGGCGUGAAAUUCUCC
rfam:Natrinema sp. J7-2, complete genome.